CUGGACAACAAACUGGACGUCACUUUGGAAUUCGAUUUCAGUGAACCAUUUAAAACAGCGAUUCUCUCAGUGCUGAUAGUUUUGGCUCUAGUGUUGGUGUUUGGGACUGGAGUCAUCAUAUAUAAAUGGAGGAAGAGACGAGCAGAUUCACCCAGAAGUGGUUAUUCUGCUGCUUCUAGUAAG